rnacentral:sRNA from 1 species
AUUAUAAUUUUAUGUUUGAUCGGAUAGAUUUUGGAUAAUUUGGCUAUUUAGGAUAUUUCGGAUAAUACGAUUCGAAAAUCUGAAUGCCUAGACCUAUUGGAAACUACAAAAAGUAUAUAGUAUUGUAUUUGUGGUUCUUAACUUGUAUGAUCUUUCAUUUUUUACCUGUUUUUAGGUAAUUCAUCCCUUCUUGUUUUUUUUUUGGUUUUUCCUUUUUAAUUAUCUUCACUGGUAACAAAUUUCUAAAUGAUUCAGAGUUUGUGUAUGCGAGAUUAAAGAUUGAAAUUUCAUAUAAAUUAUAAUUAUUGAAAUCUCAAUAACUAGAUAUCAUUCUACUCUCAUUUUUCU